rnacentral:rRNA from 1 species
GGGGAAUCUUGCACAAUGGGGGAAACCCUGAUGCAGCGACGCCGCGUGAACGAUGAAGCCCUUCGGGGUGUAAAGUUCUUUCGACAGGAACGAUAAUGACGGUACCUGGAGAAGAAGCUGCGGCUAACUACGUGCCAGCAGCCGCGGUAAUACGUAGGCAGCGAGCGUUGUUCGGAGUUACUGGGCGUAAAGAGUGCGUAGGCGGCGAGCCAAGUUUGGUGUGAAAUCUCCCGGCUUAACCGGGAGGGUGCGCCGAAAACUGGUUGGCUGGAGUAUGGGAGAGGAAAGCGGAAUUCCUGGUGUAGCGGUGAAAUGCGUAGAUAUCAGGAGGAACACCGGUGGCGAAGGCGGCCUUCUGGACGGCUACUGACGCUGAGACGCGAAAGCGUGGGGAGCGAACA